CAAAGCACCAAAAGCAUCUGAUAACAGUUUGAGCUUGAGAAGCUGUAAAUCAGGACAGAGUCCAAGCAGAAAAGCCAAUCAUCAGUCCAAGAGCCAUAAAUCCAAGAUGCACAACAGGAGGAUAUGGCUGUCAAGAAGUGAACUUAAAAGUUAGUCUCCAAUAUCUAGACUUGCCUGUGUUUAGGGACCACAUUAGAUGUAAGGUCCCCCCACCACCACCAUUUCUACACACUUUAAAAACAGUUUAAAGACAGAGUUCUAUGGAAUCCAUCACACAACGGAAGACUACAUCCAGCAGAUCCCCAUGGGACUCUGUCUUUAAAAUGUGGGUUUUAGGAGUCGGGUAGCAAUCAUCUUCAGAGCUCCCGACUUGUGCAGAAACAGGUAAAGGCACUUAUUUACAUGUGGGAUGGGAAUUGUCAGAUUCCCCCAUAUUAGAUCAUUUUAGUGAUGUUCAAGAGUGGCCGUUCCUAUGGGUGGUCUUGUAAUGAACUUUGAUGCUCCUUCCCUCACCAGUAAUCCUCUUGCAUGAAACUUUUAGGGUAGUUUUUAAAAACAAUUUAUUCUUCAGAAAUUGCACAAUUCCGAUAUAUAACCACUGGACUGUGGCUAUAUUUUAUUCCUUUUUUUAGUUCUAGAUUUCAGAUGUCUGCAGUUGUGAAGUUUCCCUAUUUAAAAAAGAAGAAGAAAAAGAAUGCAGAUUGGAGAGACAGCCGAAGCAUCUUCUGCGGAGUCCACUGUAAACACUGCAAAAAAAAUUGUGUAAAUGUCUAAAACAGCCACUAGAACCUGUUUGGACAAGUUUUCAGUGCUGACUGAGUACUGCUGGUGGAGAGAUCAGUGUAGUCAGAGAGGCCUUGCUAUCUUGAGGCCUGUUUGCUGCUGAGAAAAGAGGGGAAAGAACCAGGACUGUAUUCUUCUCUGAAGCAGAUUUGUGGACUGAGAAAGGAUUUGUUUUAUGACUGUAAACUUCUGUAAGUGAUCAGAGGGACCAUUGUAAAUACUACUGUUUUUUGAUCUCUUGGAAUCAGUAAAGUUUCGGUAUUUUUGUUCUGCAAACCUGAGUGGCAUGCUAUUGUUCUGCGGGUGACUCUGGACCACGGGCACACAUAAGAGCUUCCUUUAUCAUCAUCAAUCCGCUACAGCAACAAGUGACCGACAGUAGCCAUGACACACCUGCUGGCUGCUGCAACAACAAGAAUGGGAGGGGGGAUGCAUCCGAUGUUCCCUGGCUGCCCAAGCCUAGAAAAUAUGGGAUGGCCAUGUAAACAGU